AUUGAACGCUGGCGGCAUGCCUUACACAUGCAAGUCGAACGGCAGCGGGGGAGAAGCUUGCUUUUCCUGCCGGCGAGUGGCGAACGGGUGAGUAAUACAUCGGAACGUGCCCUGUAGUGGGGGAUAACUAGUCGAAAGAUUAGCUAAUACCGCAUACGACCUGAGGGUGAAAGUGGGGGACCGCAAGGCCUCAUGCUAUAGGAGCGGCCGAUGUCUGAUUAGCUAGUUGGUGGGGUAAAGGCCUACCAAGGCGACGAUCAGUAGCUGGUCUGAGGGACAGAGCAGCCACGCUGGGACUGGGACACGGCCCGGACUCCUACGGGAGGCAGCAGUGGGGAAGUUUGGACAAUGGGCGAAAGCCUGAUCCAGCAAUGCCGCGUGUGUGAAGAAGGCCUUCGGGUUGUAAAGCACUUUUGUCCGGAAAGAAAUGGCUCUGGUUAAUACCUGGGGUCGAUGACGGUACCGGAAGAAUAAGGACCGGCUAACUACGUGCCAGCAGCCGCCGUAA
rnacentral:rRNA from 1 species